rnacentral:rRNA from 1 species
CAGAACGUACGCUGGCGGCACGCCUAACACAUGCAAGUCGAACGCAGUAGCAAUACUGAGUGGCAGACGGGUGAGUAACAUGUGGGAAUCUGCCUUGUGGUUCAGGACAACAUUGGGAAACCGAUGCUAAUACUGGAUAAGCCCUUACGGGGAAAGUUUUAAUGCCAUAAGAUGAGCCCGCAUUUGAUUAGUUAGUUGGUGAGGUAAUGGCUCACCAAGACAAUGAUCAAUAGCUGAUCUGAGAGGAUGAUCAGCCACACUGGGACUGAGACACGGCCCAGACUCCUACGGGAGGCAGCAGUGGGGAAUCUUGCACAAUGGAGGAAACUCUGAUGCAGCGAUGCCGCGUGAGUGAAGAAGGCCUUUGGGUUGUAAAGCUCUUUUGUAGGGGAAGAUAAUGACUGUACCCUAAGAAUAAGGUCCGGCUAACUUCGUGCCAGCAGCCGCGGUAAUACGAAGGGACCUAGCGUAGUUCGGAAUUACUGGGCGUAAAGCGCGCGUAGGCCGUUGAGUUAGUUAAUUGUGAAAUCCCAAAGCUUAACUUUGGAACUGCAAUUAAAACUGCUCGACUAGAGUUUGAUAGAGGAAAGCGGAAUACAUAGUGUAGAGGUGAAAUUCGUAGAUAUUAUGUAGAACACCAGUUGCGAAGGCGGCUUUCUGGAUCAACACUGACGCUGAGGCGCGAAAGUAUGGGUAGCAAAGAGGAUUAGAUACCCUCGUAGUCCAUACCAUAAACGAUGAUUGCUAGAUGUUGGAAAUUUAUUUUNAGUAUCGCAGCUAACGCAUUAAGCAAUCCNCCUGGGGAGUACNACCGC